AAAGGGGGUAACGAAAAAAAAAAAAAAAAAAUGGAACUAAAAAAAAUAAAAAAUUUGGUUAAAAAGGAAGAUAACGAAGAUUUAAAUUUAGAUGAUGAAUCUAUUUAUCUUGAUGAAAAUGAAGAAAAUAAAGAAAAUAAAGAAAAUAAAGAAAAAACUAAGGGUAUUAAUAAUAUCAGUAAAAAUGUUGAUAAUAUAGUCGAUAAUAAUGUUGAUAAUAUAGUCGAUAAUAAUGUUGAUAAUGCAGUUGAUAAUAAUGUUGAUAAUGCAGUCGAUAAUAAUGUUGAUAAUACGGUCGAUGAUACUGAUGAUGCGACCGACGACAAUCAAAAAAAUUAUUCAAUUAAUAUGAACACCGGGAAUAAUAAAAAUAAAAAAAAAUUAAAAAAUGAGGACAAUUUAAAUAUUUAUUUAACAAAAGAUAAUAAUGAUAAAAUUUGUAUUUUAGGUGGUAAUAAUAAAACAGAUAAAACUUAUAUAAGCACUGUACACGGUAUUUCAAACAUAAAACUGCCAUCUAUAUCUAGCAUUAAUAAAAGUGAAAAUACGAUGAGUAAAAAAAGUAGCAGCUUGGCUGAUGGAAUUAACGACGCAGAAGAAGUGUUGGGUGACUACCCUUCAAUUUGGGAAGCGAGGUUACAAGCGGACAAAAAGAAAAAAGCUAAACAAAACAAAACAGCAGCGGUAGCAACAGCAGUAGCAACAACUACAACUGCAACUACAGCACUAACAAAAGGGGCUGUGGAAAAAAAUAUGAGAAAAGCAAAUGAGCACGAGAAAAUAAACCUAAUUAGUCAAAAUGAACAAAAAAAGGCGAAUAAAACUAAAAAUAUGGAGGACAAAAAUAAUCAUAAUGAUUUAGUCGAUAAAGAAAACAUCAUGUUAAACGAUGAUGAGAAAACGAACCAGCAUAUAAAAGAAAAGGAAGAUGAAAAGGGUAUUACUAGUAAAAAAAAAAAAAAAAAAAAUAAUAAUAAUAAUAAUAAUAAUAAU
rnacentral:lncRNA from 1 species